UUUACUUCUCCUGACCGUCGUCUGUUGUCCCCGCCGUCGGGGGAGGGCCGUAUCUACAUUCCUUUCCCCUCGCCCCCGCCUUCCAGAACGAGGACGACAUCCUGAAGGAGAGCAAAAGGCAAGGACCCUCUUCUAGGAAUUUCCCCUUCUCAGCUAGGAGUACAGCUUGGUCUCAGGUUUAAGAAGAAUAAAUGAAAUGGAGAUACAUUUGAGGCCUGGCUCUGCACACAAAAAUGGAUAAUAGGCUCAUUCUGGCUCUUGCUUCCCAGAUGAAGGUGGAGGUUCCUUCUUCAGGCCUGUCUCCCAUAGAGCCAGAAUUUGCAGCCAGCUGAGUGGAGAGGUGAAAUCUGUCCUUAUCUACCAUUUUUCUGAACAAGUCAGAUUCUUCACUGAGGCACGGGUGCCAGGGAAGGAGUUGGAGAUCUCAUCUGACAACUUUCAGGUGGACUUAUUCUAAAGCUGAAGUACAUGCAAGUAUGAGAAUGGAAACAACUCAGAGGGCUAAUCUUUUCAGUAUCAA